CCAACUGGUAUGUAACUUCAUUAAUCUGUGUUAUGAUUUUAAAUGUGCCAACAUACCUUGGGCUGAGCUUCCUGCUUGGUAGCCGCAGCUUGAGGUCCCGUGUGGAGAGCCAGACCCUCUGUCCAGGUUGGUAGGGAGGGUGUGGGCAACAUUGCCUGUUGGCCUGAAUCUCCUGGUUUCUGACAGCCCAUUGGAGACGUACAUGGGCACUUUCCCACACCCUCUCACUACAACGAAUCCAGUCAUCGACUGCAGGUUGCUGGCCUGAUCUUGUCUGAACAUGACUCAUAUCCUUAACGGUGACGUUUAUGAAUGGAUGUCACUCAUCUCUUGAAACUUCCAGCUGAAUUCAACGGAAAAAGGGUUUAUAUUUUGGAACACUCAACCUCCUUUCACGCUUCCCUCUUCUCUCUGAUGAUCAGAACAAAUCAGAAGAGUCAGCUUUAUGAGGGAUCCAGUGAAGCACUCCAAUUUUUGGAUGAUUAUUGUUGUGUUGGUAGGUAAAAACUGAUCACUGUGACCCAGAAAUAUCUUCAGGAUUGUUGUGCAAUCAUCACAGGUGACUCCCAUUCCAGUUUUUCCAGCCCAGCAGUGUGGGGGUUGUCUUAGCUGGCCUUUGUGCCAUCCAUUGCACUGGAGAACACACCCUAUUAAAAUGCAUGCCUUCAUAAGACCAACGCUCCACACACCUCCACAGUCAGAGGUCAGGAUUUAGCAUAUGCUAUGACAGAACAUCCGAAAAAUGUACAGAGCUCAAAUCUUAAGUGUCAUGACUGUCAUGGUGUCUAUUUACUGGAGUUAUGAAAAUGAUGUGGGAAAAACAGAGCAGUUUUCAUUCAGUGUUUCUCACUGGGAGUGUCCGCAGAAAUCCAGCUCCACUGGUGUGGGCGGUUUAAUGCCACUGACAUGGAGUCCCAACAGCCAGUAUCCUUUCUUACAAAGCCUCAGGAAAGCAAGGCCAGUAUCUUAAGUGCCUGCAGCUACUGUUGUAAUCCUACACAGACUCGGGAGAUGUGAAUAUCUGUGAGAGAGGAAAAGUAUGUGCUGUCAACAUUGUGCCUGAAGCCACUUUCGUGAAAACUAAAAAGAAAACUUGGUUGUGAUCUACUGAGUCUUGAUUUAACAAAAAGUUCAC
ensembl:lncRNA